rnacentral:lncRNA from 10 species
CCCGUCUCUACCAAAAAUAUAAAAAUUAGCUGGGUGUGGUAGCAUGUGUCUGUGGUCCAGGCUACUUGGGAGGCUGAGAUUGGAGGAUCACUUGAGCCCUGGGGAUGGAGGCUGCAGUGAGUUGAGAUCAUGCCACUGCACUCCAGCCUGGGAGACAGAGUGAGACCCUGACCCUGUCUAAAAAAAAAAAAAAAAAAAAAAAAGAGGUGGACAUGAAGAAGGCUUUGGAAAUCUGGCCCAAACCUUGGCUCGGGGCAAGACCAGGUUCUGCCCAGCCUUCUAGC